rnacentral:rRNA from 1 species
CCUACGGGGGGCAGCAGUGAGGAAUAUUGGUCAAUGGACGAGAGUCUGAACCAGCCAAGUAGCGUGAAGGAUGACUGCCCUAUGGGUUGUAAACUUCUUUUAUAUGGGAAUAAAACGUUCCACGUGUGGGAUUUUGUAUGUACCAUAUGAAUAAGGAUCGGCUAACUCCGUACCAGCAGCCGCGGUAAUACGGAGGAUCCGAGCGUUAUCCGGAUUUAUUGGGUUUAAAGGGAGCGUAGGUGGAUUGUUAAGUCAGUUGUGAAAGUUUGCGGCUCAACCGUAAAAUUGCAGUUGAAACUGGCAGUCUUGAGUACAGUAGAGGUGGGCGGAAUUCGUGGUGUAGCGGUGAAAUGCGUAGAUAUCACGAAGAACUCCGAUUGCGAAGGCAGUUCACUGGACUGCAACUGACACUGAGGCUCGAAAGUGUGGGUAUCAAACAGGAUUAGAUACCCCUGUAGUC